GACGAACGCUGGCGGCGCGCUUAACACAUGCAAGUCGAACGGAAAGGCCUGCUUUCCCUUGUGGAUUGCGGGUACUCGAGUGGCGAACGGGUGAGUAACACGUGAGUGAUCUGCCCCCAACUUGGGUAUAAGCCUGGGAAACUGGGUCUAAUUCCCGAUAGGACUGCAGGGUGGUGCCUGUGGUGGAAAACGAUGUUCUAGUGGUUGGGGAUGAGCUCGCGGCCUAUCAGCUUGUUGGUGGGGUAAUGGCCUACCAAGGCGGCGACGGGUAGCCGGCGUGAGAGGGUGGACGGCCACAUUGGGACUGGGAUACGACCCAGACUCCUGCGGGAGGCAGCAGUGGGGAAUAAUGCGCAGUGAGCGGAAGCCUGAUGCAGCGACGCCGCGUGGGAGAUGACGGCCUUCGGGUUGUAAACUCCUGUCGACCACGAGGAAGCCACCUGGUUGGAGGGGUGGUGACGGUAGUGGUAGAAGAAGCACCGGCUAACUACGUG
rnacentral:rRNA from 1 species